GAAACGCCGACUAAUCCCCGAUGGGAUAUUGUGCCGCAUGGCACGAUAUUGAAAGUUACGGCGGCGACGGAUUGGCUCGCGUCCGAUUAGCUUGUUGGCGGGGUAACGGCCCACCAAGGCUACGAUCGGUAGGGGUUCUGAGAGGAAGGCCCCCCACAAUGGGACUGAGACACGGCCCAUACUCCUACGGGAGGCAGCAGUGAGGAAUAUUGGUCAAUGGGCGGAAGCCUGAACCAGCCAUGCCGCGUGCGGGAAGGAGGCCCUAUGGGCUGUGAACCGCUUUUGCCUGGGGGCAAUAAGGGCGUCGCGCACGUCCGAUGAGAGUACCAGGCGAAUAAGCAUCGGCUAACUCCGUGCCAGCAGCCGCGGUAAUACGGGGGAUGCGAGCGUUAUCCGGAUUCAUUGGGUUUAAAGGGUGCGUAGGCUGUGCGUCAAGUCGGGGGUGAAAUUCCGGUGCUCAACACCGGGGCUGCCCUUGAUACUGUCGCGCUGGAGUGCGGAUGCCGCCGGAGGAAUGAGUGGUGUAGCGGUGAAAUGCUUAGAUAUCACUCAGAACACCGAUUGCGAAGGCAUCUGGCGAAUCCGUAACUGACGCUGAGGCACGAAAGCGUGGGGAUAGAACAGGAUUAGAUACCCUGGUAUUCCACGCCGUAAACGAUGAUGGCUAACCGCCGGCGACACACUGUCGGUGGCCAAGCGAAAGCGAUAAGCCAUCCACCUGGGGAGUA
rnacentral:rRNA from 1 species